rnacentral:rRNA from 1 species
GACGAACGCUGGCGGCGUGCUUAACACAUGCAAGUCGAACGCUGAAGCUCAGCUUUUGUUGGGUGGAUGAGUGGCGAACGGGUGAGUAACACGUGAGUAACCUGCCUCCUUCUUUGGGAUAACGCCCGGAAACGGGUGCUAAUACUGGAUAUUCACUGGUCUUCGCAUGGGGGUUGGUGGAAAGGGUUUUUCUGGUGGGGGAUGGGCUCGCGGCCUAUCAGCUUGUUGGUGGGGUGAUGGCCUACCAAGGCUUUGACGGGUAGCCGGCCUGAGAGGGUGACCGGUCACUUUGGGACUGAGAUGCGGCCCAGGCUCCUCCGGGGGGCGGAAGUGGGGAGAAUGGCACAAUGGGCGCGAGCGUGAUGCAGCGACGCCGCGUGAGGGAUUGGGGCCUUCGAGUUGUGAACCUCUUUCGCUCAUGGUCAAGCCGAAACAAUGGUUGUGGUGAGGGUAGUGGGUAAAGAAGCGCCGGCUAACUACGUG